GGCCUAGUGGCUCAGUUGGUUAGAGCGCCGCCCUGUCACGGCGGAGGUCAUGGGUUCAAGUCCCAUCUAGGUCG
rnacentral:tRNA from 1 species